UACAGAGGGGGCAAGCGUUGUUCGGAAUUACUGGGCGUAAAGCGUGCGUAGACGGUUAUUUAAGUCGGGUGUGAAAGCCCCGGGCUCAACCUGGGAAUUGCAUUCGAGACUGAAUAGCUAGGGUACGGUAGAGGGAAGUGGAAUUUCCGGUGUAGCGGUGAAAUGCGUAGAUAUCGGAAGGAACAUCAGUGGCGAAAGCGACUUCCUGGACCAGUACCGACGUUCAGGCACGAAAGCGUGGGGAGCAAACAGG
rnacentral:rRNA from 1 species